rnacentral:rRNA from 1 species
ACUCCUACGGGAGGCAGCAGUAGGGAAUCUUUCCCACAAUGGGCGAAAGCCUGAUGGAGCAACGCCGCGUGGGUGAAGAAGGUCUUCGGAUCGUAAAACCCUGUUGUUAGAGAAGAAAGUGCGAGAGAGUAACUGUUCACGUUUCGACGGUAUCUAACCAGAAAGCCACGGCUAACUACGUGCCAGCAGCCGCGGUAAUACGUAGGUGGCAAGCGUUAUCCGGAUUUAUUGGGCGUAAAGGGAACGCAGGCGGUCUUUUAAGUCUGAUGUGAAAGCCUUCGGCUUAACCGGAGUAGUGCAUUGGAAACUGGGAGACUUGAGUGCAGAAGAGGAGAGUGGAACUCCAUGUGUAGCGGUGAAAUGCGUAGAUAUAUGGAAGAACACCAGUGGCGAAAGCGGCUCUCUGGUCUGUAACUGACGCUGAGGUUCGAAAGCGUGGGUAGC